GACGAACGCUGGCGGCGUGCUUAACACAUGCAAGUCGAACGGUGACCUCGAGAGCUUGCUCUUGGGUGAACAGUGGCGAACGGGUGAGUAACACGUGAGUAACCUGCCCCUGACUCUGGAAUAAGCGCUGGAAACGGCGUCUAAUACCGGAUAUGACACACCCUCGCAUGGGGAGUGUGUGGAAAGUUUUUCGGUCUGGGAUGGACUCGCGGCCUAUCAGCUUGUUGGUGAGGUAAUGGCUCACCAAGGCGAUGACGGGUAGCCGGCCUGAGAGGGCGACCGGCCACACGGGGACUGAGACACGGCCCAGACUCCUACGGGAGGCAGCAGUGGGGAAUAUUGCACGAUGGGCGAAAGCCUGAUGCAGCGACGCCGCGUGAGGGAUGACGGCCUUCGGGUUGUAAACCUCUUUCAGCAGGGAAGAAGCGCAAGUGACGGUACCUGCAGAAGAAGCACCGGCUAACUACGUGCCAGCCGCCGCCGUAACAC
rnacentral:rRNA from 1 species